GUGAACGCUGGCGGCGUGCCUAAUACAUGCAAGUCGAGCGAACAGACGAGGAGCUUGCUCCUCUGACGUUAGCGGCGGACGGGUGAGUAACACGUGGAUAACCUACCUAUAAGACUGGGAUAACUUCGGGAAACCGGAGCUAAUACCGGAUAAUAUAUUGAACCGCAUGGUUCAAUAGUGAAAGACGGUUUUGCUGUCACUUAUAGAUGGAUCCGCGCCGCAUUAGCUAGUUGGUAAGGUAACGGCUUACCAAGGCGACGAUGCGUAGCCGACCUGAGAGGGUGAUCGGCCACACUGGAACUGAGACACGGUCCAGACUCCUACGGGAGGCAGCAGUAGGGAAUCUUCCGCAAUGGGCGAAAGCCUGACGGAGCAACGCCGCGUGAGUGAUGAAGGUCUUCGGAUCGUAAAACGCUGUUAUUAGGGAAGAACAAAUGUGUAAGUAACGAUGCACGUCUUGACGGUACCGAAUCAGAAAGCCACGGCUAACUACGU
rnacentral:rRNA from 1 species